UUGAGCCACACAUGGAACAAUGUUUUCACUUCUGAGAAUCAAAUUUUAGCAAAGAUAUUAAACUGGAAAGAAUGCAAGAGGGCAACCAGGAUGGUUAAAAGACCUGAGUUCAUAUCCUGUGGGGAUCAGUUGAAGGAACUGGACAUGUUUAGUCUAGAGAAGAGAAGAGAAGAGAAGACUUGGAGAGGGGGAAGGGAAGACUGAAAACAAGUUGUGAUCAACUUUUCAAAGGAAGAUUGUUGGGACUUUCAAAAAGUUGGGAGAAACAUUUUUCUUGAUUGUUUCCUCAAAAUGGUGAGGAAAAGAAGAAAAGCAAUGGAAACAUGUGAGUAGACUGCAAACAAGGAAAUUCCUGCCAAGGACACGUGAAACCUGUUACGUUGGUCACUCUGGAUCUUAUUCAAGCAUUUACUGUUACUAGUUGAAAAAGAUGUGUUGACCCAAUGCCUCCACUUAACUACCUUCCUGAUGUCAUGGUCCUCUUCAAGAACGAAGGAUAAACAACAACCUGACCUACAACAAAUGAGAAGCUCCAUCAAGCUGGCCUGAUCCCCAGACUAGGAAGUAAUCUUCAUCUCUUCAGAAUUUUCAUAGUCCUUUCCAUUUUGCAUUAUAUUCAUUUUUAUUUGUGUAUGCUUAUAUAUUGUGUAUACUUAACACAGUGCAUUAUAUUUAUUUGUGUAUGCUUCCCAAGAGCUUGCAAUAAUGAGGUUUUUUUUUUAUUAGAUUGUGUCUAGAAGACAGCUUCCUGUAUUUCCUAGCAUAGCGCUUGGUACAUAAUAGGAACCCAACAAAUGCUUCUUUAGUCUGACUUACCCUCCUAACACUCCCUUAAGGUUGGGCAGAGCAGGCAUUAUAAUUCUAUAACUUAAUAAAUGGGGGCAAAGGAGGCUCAGAGAGUUCUAGUUGCUAGCCCAGGAUCAUCUAGUUUGUUGGGGACAAAGCCAGUAUUAAAACUAUAACUACUAACUUCCUAGUUCAAUAUCCAUAUAAAGAAGUACCUGACAUAUAUUUUGGGGAAAUGUAAUUGAUGAAGAUAAGCUUCUGUUCUAUGGCCUUUUUUUUUAAAGGAGUCACAGAAUCACAGACUUUAGGAGUGCAAAGGGAUUUCAGGAGCUACCUCAUUCCAACCUAGAUCCAAAAGGAAUUUCCAAGACACACACACAUUUAGAAGUGGUCUUCUGAAUUAACAUGGGAUAUGGUCUGGAUUAUGUUUCCUUCAUGCUACUUCAACUAGGGAUGCUUUGUGAAGAAUUAUUUUUUGUUUCAAGUGUACUUAAAUAUAAUUUCCUCUUUACUUGGAUACUUCGGCAAUACUGUUUGAUCUGGAUGAUUUUUUUUAAAAAAAGUUGACUGCUCAUUUUUAUUAUCAAGUUUAUCCUGUAACCAGAAGAUAACUAGUUAUCACUGAUGGAAAUUUGUGCAAAUGGGAACUGACUGUAUGUCUUAAUAUUGACCAUGGUGGUUGGAGAAUACAGCUGUUAUUCAUUAUGGAGAUGCUUGUCAGGUAUAAAUAAAACUCAAUAGAAUA